GGUUGAUGCAUUCGUAGAAGGGAAUCCAAUGGCACUUCGUAGCUUUAUGAAAGCGAGAACCUCUUAUCGUGUGAAAAAUAGGGCUGCAUGUUCAAUAAGUUCAAUAUAGUUCAAUAAGUUCAAUAUAGUUCAAUAAGUACAGUCCAACCCACAUAUAAGAAUAUUCUACUGCCAAUGAAAAUACAUUCUUUAACGGAUAAUUCUUAAAAGUGGGUCAUGCAGAAAAAAAUAAAAGAAGGCAGGAGAAAGCUUUCAACAUAUUCAGCCAAAAGAAAGUAGGUCACUUUCACUGCUUCAGAGAAAAGCCAUAAUCUACCAGCUUUGCUUGCUUCGUGCAAAGCUGGCCGAAAUUCCUUUCUUUUUAAUUUAAAUUCUCUAUACAACUUAGUGAGAGGUCCUUUACAAAAAAAAAAAAAACAGAACGAAGUGCUGAAGAGACCCAAUCUGCAUUGGCCUACUGCAAAGACAAAGCCUCCAUGGGCAGGCUGCACUACUGUGUCGUCGUCAGAGUUGCCAGUGGUGAAUUUUACGCUUUCGACGGCGUCCCACGCAGCUUUUUUUUUUUUUUUUUUUACUCUCGAGACUGACUCACAGCACCCACAUCCAUUCAUAUAACCGAUAACAUGGCCUGGGAACAUUCUGGAAAACGGAUUGUUCUACCAUAGAACACGUACUAAAGCUGACGGUACCGUGGUUUUUCAUUUUCAUAUCGAAUAUGUUUUCAUAACCGCGGUGUUCUUUAUAAGUGGGUCGGGCUGUAUAUCCAACAGAGUGAUGCGAAUACAUACAUACAUACAUACAUACAUACAUACAUACAUACAUACAUACAUACAUACAUACAUACAUACAUACAUACAUGCAUGCAUGCAUACAUACAUACAUACAUACAUAUAUACAUACAUACAUACGUACAUACAUACAUCAUACAUACAUACAUACAUACAUACAUACAUACAUACAUACAUACAUACAUACGUUGUAAUGUGUACCACGUGACCUUCUCCUCGACAUUGUGCCACUGUAGCUGCUGUCGUCGAACUUACCCUCGCUCUACGGUGGCUGCUACAACCGCUGUCGCGCAUGCGCAGUACUUCCGCCGGCGGGCCAGGGAGGCCGCUCACCCGAAUCCCGACUUCCACCUUCCCGAGAGCAGAAAUCUGAGUAGCGACGAGAUAUUCUUCUACUCCUUUGGCGAGUACAUGUGCGAGGUGCUUAAGCCGGCCGCCCACAACAAGGUUAUCGAUUUUGGAUACCUGCCUCCAAACCGCAUCAGGCUAAACACCCUGCUCCGUAACACUCCUGAGUUCGCCACGGCCUUCAACUGCCCGUUGACCAGCCAGAUGGUGCUGCCGACGGCAAACUACUGCAUGGCGUUUCCUCCCAAGGAGCAUUACGUCAUCAGGCCCAUCGAUGCGUACACCACGCCGGAGCCAUCUGUUGGCCCCUAAGCCUGUCAACGUAUCAAGAUCCCCCCCUCCUCCACCCCCAUGAACUGUUUUAGGCCCACGCGUCUAAACCUCGUAUAUACUAAGUGAAUCAUGCGGAAUAUUAUAUGUGUAGAUCUCAUAGAAAGAAAGAUCUCGUCUCGUAGAGACAAUAUAAGUA